UACAGAGGUCCCGAGCGUUGUUCGGAUUCAUUGGGCGUAAAGGGUGCGUAGGUGGCGCUGUAAGUGGGGUGUGAAAUCUCCGGGCUUAACCCGGAAAGGUCAACUGAUACUGUGCGACUAGAGUGCGGAAGGGGCAACUGGGAAUUCUCGGUGUAGCGGUGAAAUGCGUAGAUAUCUGGAGGAACACCGGUGGCGAAGGCGGCAUCCUGGACCAACACUGACGCUGAGAGCGGAAAGCCAGGGAGCAAACGGG
rnacentral:rRNA from 1 species